AGAGUUUGAUCCUGGCUCAGAACGAACGCUGGCGGCGUGCCUAACACAUGCAAGUCGAACGGGGAUAAGUAGCUUGCUAUUUAUUCUAGUGGCGCACGGGUGAGUAACGCGUAGAUAAUCUGCCUUAGACUCUGGGAUAACAUCUCGAAAGGGGUGCUAAUACCGGAUAAGCCCACGGGGACGUGAGUUCUUGCGGGAAAAGGGGGCCUCUGCAUACGCUCUUGAUCUAAGAUGAGUCUGCGUACCAUUAGCUUGUUGGUAGGGUAAUGGCCUACCAAGGCGACGAUGGUUAGCUGGUCUGAGAGGAUGAUCAGCCACACUGGGACUGAGACACGGCCCAGACUCCUACGGGAGGCAGCAGUGGGGAAUUUUGCGCAAUGGGGGAAACCCUGACGCAGCAACGCCGCGUGAGUGAUGAAGGCUUUCGGGUCGUAAAGCUCUGUCUAGAGGGAAGAAGUGAUAUUCGGUUAAUACCCGGGUUUCUUGACGGUACCUCUGAAGGAAGCACCGGCUAACUCCGUGCCAGCAGCCGCGGUAAUA
rnacentral:rRNA from 1 species